GGGGCUGUAGCUCAGCUGGGAGAGCGCAUGACUGGCAGUCAUGAGGCCAGGGGUUCAAGUCCCCUCAGCUCCACCA
rnacentral:tRNA from 3 species